AUUGUGUUUUGAACGAAGAGUGUUUGGUCUUGCAUUGUGAUGGCGUCUGAGUGUUGGCUUGGUCUCUGUUGGCUUGCUACAUAUCUAGAAAGCUCCAUGAUUUGUGCUAAGCUCAAAAUAUCAGUAGAUUUGUUGUGGUAGUGCCUUAACAGGAUUUGAGACUUCUCCAUUCAGGUAGGUUAUGCUCGUUUGACUCACAUUAUGGUAAUUAUUUUUAAUUUUUUAUAAUUUAAGUAAUAAGUAAUGAUAUAUGUAUCUUUUGAAUUGUGUUGUAAUGAUUUUGUAUAUAUUUCUAUAUUUAAGGAAAAGACAAGUCCGGUAGAUACAAAAAUUAUAAGAUUGCAAGUUUGGAUUGAAGGUCACAAGAAAAAAAAUGGGAAGCCUAGUACUCAAGCUGUUGGAGAGAAAAUAGUGGACCUAAUUCGACCAAAUGAUGAAAUGCAGUUUCUCGAUGAUGCAAUAAGAAGCACGG